UACGUAGGGUGCAAGCGUUAAUCGGAAUUACUGGGCGUAAAGCGUGCGCAGGCGGUGAUGUAAGACAGAUGUGAAAUCCCCGGGCUCAACCUGGGAACUGCAUUUGUGACUGCAUCGCUGGAGUGCGGCAGAGGGGGAUGGAAUUCCGCGUGUAGCAGUGAAAUGCGUAGAGAUGUGGAGGAACACCGAUGGCGAAGGCAGCCCCCUGGGCCGUGA
rnacentral:rRNA from 1 species